rnacentral:rRNA from 1 species
AGAGUUUGAUCUUGGCUCAGGACGAACGCUGGCGGCGUGCCUAAUACAUGCAAGUCGAACGAAACUUUCUUACACCGAAUGCUUGCAUUCACCGUAAGAAGUUGAGUGGCGGACGGGUGAGUAACACGUGGGUAACCUGCCUAAAAGAAGGGGAUAACACUUGGAAACAGGUGCUAAUACCGUAUAUCUCUAAGGAUCGCAUGAUCCUUAGAUGAAAGAUGGUUCUGCUAUCGCUUUUAGAUGGACCCGCGGCGUAUUAACUAGUUGGUGGGGUAACGGCCUACCAAGGUGAUGAUACGUAGCCGAACUGAGAGGUUGAUCGGCCACAUUGGGACUGAGACACGGCCCAAACUCCUACGGGAGGCAGCAGUAGGGAAUCUUCCACAAUGGACGCAAGUCUGAUGGAGCAACGCCGCGUGAGUGAAGAAGGUCUUCGGAUCGUAAAACUCUGUUGUUAGAGAAGAACACGAGUGAGAGUAACUGUUCAUUCGAUGACGGUAUCUAACCAGCAAGUCACGGCUAACUACGUGCCAGCAGCCGCGGUAAUACGUAGGUGGCAAGCGUUGUCCGGAUUUAUUGGGCGUAAAGGGAACGCAGGCGGUCUUUUAAGUCUGAUGUGAAAGCCUUCGGCUUAACCGGAGUAGUGCAUUGGAAACUGGAAGACUUGAGUGCAGAAGAGGAGAGUGGAAUUCCAUGUGUAGCGGUGAAAUGCGUAGAUAUAUGGAAGAACACCAGUGGCGAAAGCGGCUCUCUGGUCUGUAACUGACGCUGAGGUUCGAAAGCGUGGGUAGCAAACAGGAUUAGAUACCCUGGUAGUC